CUCUUAUCAAGAGUGGCGGAGGGACUGGCCCGAUGAAGCCCGGCAACCGGUAUUCGUUAAGAAUACAAUGGUGCCAAAUCCUGCAAUCUAACAAGAUUGGGAGAUGAGAG
rnacentral:ncRNA from 2 species